AGUGAACGCUGGCGGCAGGCCUAACACAUGCAAGUCGAACGGUAACAGGAAACAGCUUGCUGUUUCGCUGACGAGUGGCGGACGGGUGAGUAAUGUCUGGGAAACUGCCUGAUGGAGGGGGAUAACUACUGGAAACGGUAGCUAAUACCGCAUAACGUCGCAAGACCAAAGAGGGGGACCUUCUGGCCUCUUGCCAUCGGGUGUGCCCAGAUGGGAUUAGCUAGUAGGUGGGGUAACGGCUCACCUAGGCGACGAUCCCUAGCUGGUCUGAGAGGAUGACCAGCCACACUGGAACUGAGACACGGUCCAGACUCCUACGGGAGGCAGCAGUGGGGAAUAUUGCACAAUGGGCGCAAGCCUGAUGCAGCCAUGCCGCGUGUAUGAAGAAGGCCUUCGGGUUGUAAAGUACUUUCAGCGGGGAGGAAGGGAGUAAAGUUAAUACCUUUACUCAUUGACGUUACCCGCAGAAGAAGCACCGGCUAACUCCGUG
rnacentral:rRNA from 1 species